AUUAAACGCUGGCGGCAUGCCUUACACAUGCAAGUCGAACGGUAGCGCGGGGCAACCUGGCGACGAGUGGCGAACGGGUGAGUAAAGCAUCGGAACGUGCCCUGGAAUGGGGGAUAACGUAGCGAAAGUUACGCUAAUACCGCAUAUUCUGUGAGCAGGAAAGCAGGGGAUCGCAAGACCUUGCGUUCUGGGAGCGGCCGAUGUCGGAUUAGCUAGUUGGUGGGGUAAAAGCCUACCAAGGCGACGAUCCGUAGCGGGUCUGAGAGGAUGAUCCGCCACACUGGGACUGAGACACGGCCCAGACUCCUACGGGAGGCAGCAGUGGGGAAUUUUGGACAAUGGGCGGAAGCCUGAUCCAGCCAUGCCGCGUGAGUGAAGAAGGCCUUCGGGUUGU
rnacentral:rRNA from 1 species